rnacentral:lncRNA from 1 species
UUACAUUUCCUUCAGCCUCAUGUGUAUUCAUUUCACUUUUGGUGUGAAAGGGCUUUUACAUUUGUAAAAGAAGAAUUUUUUAUAUUAAAAACAAACAAGCAAGUCCUGCCCAGUUUUAAAAAGUAACUCAAAAGUAACAUAUCGCAUUAUGUUCCAUAAAAAGUAACGGAAUUAGUAACUUUUUUAGGGAGUAACACAAUAUUGUAAUGCAUUACUUUUAAAAGUAACUUUCCCCAACACUGUAUAUGAACACCAGAGUCUUGGUACAAUUUUUGUUUAGCAUGAAAGAAGCUUCUCAACCAUGCAUCACCACCUUGUGGGGUGGAUUAUGUAAAAAAAAAAAAAAAAAACCUUAAAUAACUUAACUGUAUAUGAACACCAGAGUCUUGGUACAAUUUUUGUUUAGCAUGAAAGAAGCUUCUCAACCAUGCAUCACCACCUUGUGGGGUGAUUAUAGUAAAAAAAAAAAACCUUAAUAACUUGGUAAGUCUUAAACUUGAUCAGACUGACCAAAUUUAGAAAUAUGAACAAGUGAUUUCUGCCACAGAAUUUUAGGCAGUACAUAGGACAGGAAGUUUGGAAGAUGGAUGGAUAGAUAAUUGAUACUGUAAACCAUUUCAUACCAUUUGGACUUGAUGGGUUAAAAAUAUAAUUCAACUGACAAAAAAAUUAGUAUGUCACCUUUACACAAUUUACAGAAAUAAAACGGCAUUGGCUUUUUGCCCUCUAUCUCACAGGCGCCCCUCUGUGGUCAUCUCCACCCCAUGUAAUCACAUGACGGGAAGAACAGUCACCUUGGAAAACAAAAGGUGCAGUGUCCCAUCAGCCUCUGCCUCCUGCUGGCCACGGAUGCCCUGGAAGCUGGAGACUCGGGGCUGGGAACGAGGAUGGUUAACGAAGGCAGAGAACAAGAGAUGGGGGAUGUCACCAGGCCCCCAGAGGGAAGUAGCCACGGCCUGUCUGGAUUCCCCACUGAGCUGCAAAAUGAGCAAGGAUGCAUGCACCUGAGCAGGCUGAGGAGCAGCCUCAGGCGCUGGAGAAGCUGUAGCCGUUUUUACUUACCGAGCCAAGCUCUGACACCCAGUCCUCGCAGAAGACAGAAGCGCUAGUGCAAAUCAAACCCACCAACCAUAAAUUACCACUUUCAAGCCUUCUUUAACUCUGGCUGCCCCCCUUUUCCUCUCUCCCAGUCUUUCUCGUGGCUCUCUACCCAUACAGACUCCCGAUGCAAUAUAAACUUGGCUGUCAAAGGGGCUUUUGUGAUGUGGCAAACUUGCCAUUGUAACGGACAGCUUGACAAAUGCAGAGGGUGGCGGAGCAGCGUGGACUCUUCCCUGAGCCCGACGGGUAUGUGGUUAGGGUGGGGGAGAUGGGCACAUGGUGACUUUCUCAAGGAUAAUGAGCCACUGAACGAUGGCUAAAAUGUUGCCGUCAACCUGCCCUUCUGCUACCGGCUAAUUAGAUAAUUAGCAAGGUCCUAAUUACGGGAUCAAGGUGCAGGGAAACAAUUAGCACGAAGUAUUGCCACAUAAAACGGAAAUUUACGUUCUGCCAGAGCAUAUUUAAUUUGAGUCUUCUACUAAAUAUCUACAUCCUCUCACAAACGAUCAUUUCACAAGUCCCUUAUGCAGUGAACGGAUGGUGUCAUUUGUGAAAGGUUAAUUUAGCUAGGCGCUAACUAAGAUUAGCAUAGAUAGGUGUUGAGUUGGAGGAUGUUUUUGUGGAAAAUUCUGUGGGAAAAUUGGAUAUGGAAAUGCAUUAUCUUACGGUCUCCCUUAUGCUGUUAAGGGAUGUGAUUUGUGAAAGGUUAAUUUAGCUUAGCGCUAUAAGAUUAGCAUAGAGAAGUGUCAGAUGGAGGAUGUUUACGUGGAAAAUACUGUGGGAAAAUUGUGUAUGGGAAUGUGUUAUUUUCAUAAAUAAUUUCCCUUAUGUAGUGAAAGAGUUGUGUCAUUUGUAAAAGGUUAAUUUAGCUAGGCGCUAACUAAGAUUAGCACAGAGAAGUUAUAUUUUGGAGGAUGUGAAGAAAAUACUGUGGCAAGAUUGUAAAUGGGUGUGUGUUAUCUUCAUAAAUAAUUUUGCUUUUGUAGUGAAGGAGUUGUGUCAUUUGUGAAAGGUUAAUUAAGCUAGGCGCUAACUACAAUUUGCAUAGAUAAGUU